rnacentral:ncRNA from 22 species
AUUAUUCAGGUCUGUGGUUGAAAGUCCAGGCCAGUCGCAGGCAAAGGGAUCCACGUAAGUCAACGCCAAAAGCGGAGUUGAUGAUCAUGGUGCGGCUUAGAAGUAAGACCUACCGAUAACCAAAAAAAUUCUAAAUCGAGACGGCUAGUAGUGCGGCAAACCCAGAGCGAACGUCGCAGUAGGCGAGUGUGGGGUCAAAAACCAGGUCAGCUGAAUAGU